UUCCCCAAGGAGCGUUGCAGCGGGCUGGGCGACCUCCCGUCAGGCUUGGGGCUUUUCUCUUGGCAACGACGCUCGCCUGUC
rnacentral:ncRNA from 2 species